rnacentral:lncRNA from 1 species
AUGUGCUGGGGGUCGCGGUGGCUCAUCCGGGCGACGGCAUCCGCGCGCUCCCCCGCCCCCGCUUGGAUGUGGGCGGCAGGGCAGGGCAGGGGAGGGGCCGCGAGGAAACCCUCCUGCGCUUUCGAGUACCUCCCCCUCCCCGCCCCUCCCCCUGCGCUCGGCGGCCGCGGAGGGAAGGAGCGAGGCGGCGCGGAGGCCGGGCGAGCGGAGGGGGUUCGGGAGGGAGGGAGGGGGGAACAGGCAAGGCGAGGACUCGGCGCCGGACCCGGGCGGGGAGGAAGACGGGGUGGGAGGGAGCGAGCGGGGGAGGGGGGGGCGCGCGCGCAAGGGCCCCCCUGCCCGCGAGGCGAGGGGCGGGGCGGCGCGCGGAUCGAUGGGCGAAGCUGGGGCGGAAUUUCAAUCCCCGGAGCGAAGUUAGAGCCGGGAGGACGGCGGCGGCGGCGGCGGCGGGCGCAGCCCCGGAAAGGUCACUCGCUGGCUGGUCUGGGUGGGGGCCCCCUGCAGGCGUUUUCUCCUCCAACACAGAGCGACAGCCUCUGGCAUCGAAAUCAGACUCUUCCAGGCAUCAGCGGUGUGACCUUGGGGCAGGGGGAGCUGCCCUGGUGACCAUUUGUCCUGCGCUCCAUCUGGACCCAUGCUCUUCCUCUGUGUCCUGCGAUGAGGAGAAGAUGUCCGUGACUCCCGCGGGGAGGGACCCACCAGCCUGUCCCUCUCAGCCGCGUCAGGUCGCCGGGGGGCCCUGACCCAAAGGUAGGGGAUGUGCUUGCUUGUUGGAUUCUCUCAGAAGUUGGGGGGGGGGGGCAGGACCAGUUCACACCCACCUGCGAGACAGGUCUGCUGGGGUCACGGGACAGGAUUCAAAGGAGACGGGGUCAUAUCCGGCUACACUGCAGACACAGCUGUCCCCUGGGGGUCGACUCCUGCAGGGGUGCCGUCCUUGUGAUGGACAGAACGGGCAGAGGACGAAGGGGCCGCCUCGGGAUGUGACAGGAGGAGCUUGUGGCGUUGGGGGCUCAGGGCCGGCCCAGCAUCCUCCCUGCUGAGUCACGGUGGCCUCGUGGGUUAAAAGAGAUCUCGUCUUCCACCCGUUUACGGGAAUAGACACAAUACCAUGUGUUUGAGUGUAAAACCACCAUAUGUGCAGCCUGACAUAUGUUAAUAUUGACUCACGUGGUCUAUUCGAAAAACAGGUUCUUAUAGGGAGAGAGUUAUCCACAGUCCCGAACUGACUGAGGCUGCCAUCCCGAUGGCACGCCACACGUCCCGGUGACCCUGCUGCUGCGGGUUCCGCCUCCAGCUGGGAGGUAGCUGGACACGCUCUUUUCUGUUAGCCCUUCCGGAAAUCGUGGAUAUGCCCUCUUUUGUCCGCUGUGGCCCGGAUUUCUCCAGGCUGUAGGCACGUCACGCGGUUCUGGGACUCCGACCCGGCCGGUUUUGCACGUGGCUGGAACGGGGCGCUGUUCCCCGGGAGUCUCCUCGUGGGGUAGAGCGGGGUUGUAACAUCUCCCUUGACCGUCAGGAGGUGCCAGUGUAAGUGGCGGGGUCCAUGGAAGAGUCUGGAUUCUGGGCCUCGGUUUGCACAGGGGGUUGCUGAGCGGCUGUGUUCAGGCGUUGAAGGGCUGUGUAGACUGAGUUCGUGUACAGGGAGCGUGGUAAUGCUGCCGGUUCUAACAGGCUGUGAGAGGGAAGCGUUUGGGAAAAGGCUCUCUCCUCCAUCACUGGGUGGUGGUGGGGGAACAGAGAUCUUUCUGGAAGCCCCAGAGGCACGCCCUUUGGAGGUGGUCAGAGGGCUCCCCCAGAGUCCGGGGGGCGGGGCGCGGGCUGGGAGGUGGGUCGGAGAGCUGAGCAGGCACCAGGUCAUGGGGCGGGUAAGCCGCCUGGUCACUGCUCCCUGACUUGUCCGUCAGACGUCCACCGAGUGCCUGCCUUUUGCCAGAUCCUGGGUGCGGUGGUGCCAGAGACCCCGUCCCUCGAGGGGCUCCGAGUCCAGAAAGACGGAGGGUGUGAGGACGCAUUGUUGCUUCUGUGCCACGGCCCCCCUCCCUUCAGCGCCCAUCAUCAAGGACAUCUGGGGGAAUUCCCCAUGACAAUGACCAGCACCUGGCCCUCUCUGGGCCUCAGUUUCCCUGUCUGAAACAUGAGGGUGCCCCCGAGGACUUUCUCAAUGGAUAUCCCCUGAGCAGAGGGGGACAGACCCCACUCUGCUGAAUUUUGGGUGUAGAGCGCCGGGUAGGGCAUUUACCACCUGACCUCCCUGUUUUUUUUUUUUCUGUAAAAUGGACAUCAGAGCCUCUCCCAUAGGUGAGCAUUCAGUGGGAUGUGUGAAUUGCCUGGCAUACAGCAGGCGCUCAAGAAGCCCUGGUGGGUGUCACCCCCUCCUAAGCGUGAAGCAGGUGCCUGGCAGUGACUGGUACAUCACGUUGGAUAAACGUCAUGUCUUUUCUUCCUUCCCAGCCCAUAUCAGCCUCCCGCUCCCCUGAGUUGGUCCGGGGUGGCCGCAGCCUGGCGGGACCCCCCUCGGCCCCCCAGCCCUCACGAGGCCGGGACAUCUCCGUCUUCUGUCUCACUCACCCCGGCCACGUGUUCCGCUCCGUCAGCCUCCUGAGCCUGGCAGGUGGCAGACACUGAAUGAACGUUUGUUGAAUGAAUGGAUGGGAUGUUUCCCAGCCCGGCCCACCUUCGAAGGCAGGUGGCAAAACAGAUGGCCCGUGGCUCCUGCGGGGCCUGGCGGAGCAGCGCGUGCGUCUCACUGGGUCUUCUUCAGGAAGCUGGGGGUUGGGCGUCUGGUUUCCAAGGUCCCUUCUGGAUAGAACGUCUCGUCAUUCAGCGAGUCGAAUUUCCCAAUUCUGUUCCUGCCUCCCCCCCGACUCCUCCGUUUCCGGGUCCUGAGGCCUUGUGCCUGGAAGUUGCCUUUACGGAGGCAAUGACUCAGUGUCCCGAAGGAGCCUUCUGUGCGUUCCGAUGACCUCAGGUGACCUGCUGGACACGGCCCAACCCCAGGCUGGCGUGGGUUCAGCACUGUGGACAGAGCCACAGAGGCCAGCCCGGGGCUGUGGGCGCCGUGGGAGGCCUGUUGGCGGGAGGGGGGUCCGGGAGUGGGUGGAACUAGUGCCCGGGCCCCUCUGUAAGACCCCUGCCCUCCCCACGCCUCAGUUUCCUUCUCAGAGAAGUCAGGGUUGUGCUUUCCCCAGCAGAGGUCCCCGUGACUUGCCCCAGACCACCCCACCCCUCGGCCAGCACGCCCUCGUCCCCGCCUCUCCGAGGAGCUGGGUUAUUUAUCUGCCGGAUGGUGACAGGCGGCCGCGGCUGGAGCUGGAGCUGCCGAGCAAACAGCCCGGGCUAAUUAGCAAAAGGUCACGGCAGCUCCUGGAGCCCCUGCGUUUGAAGUCGGCCUCACACAGGCGGGUGGGCGCGAAGGCACCGCGACUUUGAGUUAGUGGGCCUGUUUACCGGGACGGCUUCAAACUCCUGCGCACCGCUCACCGCCUGAUUGCCAGCCCACGAGUCUGAGGCUUCACUUUCCGGAGAUUUCGGGCGCCAGGGGUCCAGCCGCUCGCCCACCCCCUGCCCCAGGCCCAACAAGGAUGGAGACGCAGCCCCCGGUGUGCAUGGGAGAGCCGGCCUUCACCGCCACCGGCCUCCCUUCUCAUGCCCGGGGGCAGGCCGGCCCGAGCCCCAGAAGAGCGGGCUGGGCAGUAGCCGCCCACGUGCCCCCACAUUUCUCUGCCUGUUUUUACUGUUUUUCUCUAAGUAAAUUUACUUAAAAAAAAAAAAGACUUAAAUACAUUUAUUUAAAAGGGAAGUUUUAUAGCACCGCUACAAAUGGAAAACAAGCCUCCUUUGCCAUAAAUAGAACUCAUAAUCAUAAAAAUAAAUUCGGUGGAAACAAAACA